rnacentral:rRNA from 1 species
GGGGAAUCUUGCACAAUGGGGGAAACCCUGAUGCAGCGACGCCGCGUGAGCGAAGAAGCCUUUCGGGGUGUAAAGCUCUUACGCCAGGGACGAUAAUGACGGUACCUGGAGAAGCAGCUGCGGCUAACUACGUGCCAGCAGCCGCGGUAAUACGUAGGCAGCAAGCGUUGUUCGGAAUUACUGGGCGUAAAGGGUGCGUAGGCGGCGCUUUAAGUUUGGUGUGAAAUCUCCCGGCUCAACCGGGAGGGUGCACUGAAAACUGGGGCGCUCGAGUAUGGGAGAGGAAAGCGGAAUUCCUGGUGUAGCGGUGAAAUGCGUAGAAAUCAGGAGGAACACCCGCGGUGUAGACGGCUUUCCGGACCAUGACUGACGCUGAGGCACGAAAGCGUGGGGAGCAAACA